rnacentral:rRNA from 1 species
UCCAUUUUUUCUUUUUUAAGUUUCUCGCUUAGUUUUUAUUCGUGAAACUACAAGGUGCAAAAAUUCUUCAUUGAUUUACUUAUGGUUUCUUUUGAAAUUUUAUUCAAACACUCUUCUUCUUCAUUCAUUUAUUUAUUAUUGUUUAAAAAAUUGUGAGAUAAAAAUAGAGGCUAUAUAUAGGGUUAAUUAAAAUACAGGUUAGAGUCUGAAAAUAACAAUUCUUUUAAAACUAUGGAUGAAAUUAUACUUCUGUGCAUGUAUAUAUGUAUUCUGACGACUUUACAAAUAGUUCGACAAGAAAUUUGUAAGUAACCAUGACAUGGUAUAAGAGAUUAUGAAUCUAUAUAGCAAUAACGAAAGAUAUAUAUGCAUAUGAUGCAUGUGUAUUGAAAUAGUAAUGGUGACGUAAAUAUCGCGUGAGUGAAGAAGGCAAUGCCGCUUGUAAAGCUCUUUCGUCGAGUGCGCGAUCAUGACAGGACUCGAGGAAGAAGCUCCGGCUAACUCCGUGCCAGCAGCCGCGGUAAGACAGGGGGGGCAAGUGUUCUUCGGAAUGACUGGGCGUAAAGGGCACGUAGGCGGUGAAUCGGGUUGAAAGUGAAAGUCGCCAAAAACUGGCGGAAUGCUCUCGAAACCAAUUCACUUGAGUGAGACAGAGGAGAGUGGAAUUUCGUGUGUAGGGGUGAAAUCCGUAGAUCUACGAAGGAACGCCAAAAGCGAAGGCAGCUCUCUGGGUCCCUACCGACGCUGGGGUGCGAAAGCAUGGGGAGCGAACAGGAUUAAACAGGAUUUACCCUGGUAGUCCACGCCGUCGAUGGUUGCUAGUUGUCGGGUUGUUUACAACUACUAGCCGUUGGGGUCCUUGAGACUUUAGUGGCGCAGUUAACGCGAUAAGUAGACCGCCUGGGGAGUACGGUCGCAAGACUGAAACUCAAAUGAAUUGACGGGGGCCUGCCCGCACAAGCGGUGGAGCAUGUGGUUUCAUUCGAUACAACGCGCAAAACCUUACCAGCCCUUGACAUAUGAACAACAAAACCUGUCCUUAACGGGAUGGACUUUCAUACAGGUGCUGCAUGGCUGUCGUCCUCGUGUCGUGAGAUGUUUGGUCAAGUCCUAUAACGAGCGAAACCCUCGUUUUGUGUUGCUGAGACAUGCGCCUAAGGAGAAAUGCGAAGUGAGCCGGGGAGCCGAGUGACGCGCUACUACUUGACUUGAGUGCCAGCCAAGAAUUUCAGGGGCUUUCAGCAAGAAUUUCAGGGAGCCUUUCGAAGCACUUUCACGUGUGAACCGAAGUCGUGUUGCUCGUUCCCCACGGAGACCUACCUAUAGUGACGUCAAAGUACCAGUGACCAUGACGGUUUGGUUAGGCUUGGUUACGACGACGUCGAGUUGGCGGCGGAGGAAGACUCGGCAUUCAGGCGAGCCGCCCGGUGGUGUGGUACGUAGUGGUAAUAGUACGCGCCCCGCUCCGAAACAAAGAAAAAGGUGCGUGCCGCACUCACGAGGGACUGCCAGUGAGAUACUGGAGGAAGGUGGGGAUGACGUCAAGUCCGCAUGGCCCUUAUGGGCUGGGCCACACACGUGCUACAAUGGCAAUGACAAUGGGAAGCAAGGCUGUAAGGCGGAGCGAAUCCGGAAAGAUUGCCUCAGUUCGGAUUGUUCUCUGCAACUCGGGAACAUGAAGUUGGAAUCGCUAGUAAUCGUAGAUCAGCAUGCUACGGUGAAUAUGUACCCGGGCCCUGUACACACCGCCCGUCACACCCUGGAAAUGGGUUUCGCCCGAAGCAUCGGACCAAUGAUCACCCAUGACUUAUGUGUACCACUAGUGCCACAAAGGCUUUUGGUGGUCUUAUUGGCGCAUACCACGGUGGGGUCUUCGACUGGGGUGAAGUCGUAACAAGGUAGCCGUAGGGGAACCUGUGGCUG